rnacentral:misc_RNA from 1 species
GAUGAAGAACGUAGCGAAAUGCGAUAAAUAAUGUGAAUUGCAGAAUUCAGUGAAUCAUCGAAUCUUUGAACGCACAUUGCGCCCGCCAGUAUUCUGGCGGGCAUGCCUGUCCGAGCGUCAUUUCAACCCUCGAACCCCUCCGGGGGGUCGGCGUUGGGGACCUCGGGAGCCCCUAAGACGGGAUCCCGGCCCCGAAAUACAGUGGCGGUCUCGCCGCAGCCUCUCCUGCGCAGUAGUUUGCACAACUCGCACCGGGAGCGCGGCGCGUCCACGUCCGUAAAACACCCAACUUCUGAAAUGUUGACCUCGGAUCAGGUAGGAAUACCCGCUGAACUUAAGCAUAUCAAUAAGCGGAGGA